AUCCGGCAGACGCGUCCCAAAUACGACGAAACGCGCGUCAAAUUGGAU
rnacentral:hammerhead_ribozyme from 1 species